rnacentral:rRNA from 1 species
CUCGUAGGUGGCCAACUAAGCAGACGUGAAAUCCCUCGGCUUAACCGGGGAACUGCGUCUGAUACUGGAUGGCUUGAGUUUGGGAGAGGGACGCGGAAUUCCAGGUGUAGCGGUGAAAUGCGUAGAUAUCUGGAGGAACACCGGUGGCGAAGGCGGCGUCCUGGACCAACACUGACACUGAUGAGCGAAAGCCAGGGGAGCAAACG